GAAAUAUAAGUAAAAUUUAAUUGAUUAAUCGAAUAAAAUUUUAAAUACAUUGAUAUAAUGACGAUAUGUAUAUACGGUCUUGACAAAAUACGUGCCAGCAGUCGCGGUAAUACGUAUGAGACUAGCGUUAUUCAUCUUAAAUAGGUUUAAAGGGUACUCAAACGGUCAGAUUAUCCUUUAAUAGGUAAUAUUUGUCUAGAGUUUUAUGUAAGAAGACAGUACUUAGAGUGGAGAGAUUAUAUUCUGUGAUACCAAAGGGACUGGCAACGGCGUAGGCAGUCUUUUAUGUAAAAACUGACGUUGAAGGACGAAGGCAUAGAUCGCAAACAGGAUUUGACACCCCAGUAGUCUUUGCAGACAAUGAUGAAUGCCGUAGAUUAGAUGAGAAUUUAGUCUAUCAAUGAAAAUAAAAGCAUUUCACCUCAAGAGUAAUGUGGCAACGCAGGAACUGAAAUCAC
rnacentral:rRNA from 1 species